AGGGUCUUGGAAUAGGAUCAACACAGAAACUCUCUCUUCCACCUCUCCGUCCCUCUCUGUAAUCUACCGUCCCCUCUGCUCUCCCUCCAUUAAGCCCCCGCGCCGUCACCGAGAUAGCUCCGGCGAAUCCACCGUGAUGCAAGUAGCCCACUCUGUUAACCCCAAAUCCUAAUUUUCAUUAGCUCGUCUAAUUUCAGAAUUUGAGUAGUCACUCACUUCCCAAAUUGUUGAAAUUAGAGGUGAACUAAGUGCAAGCACAAGUGAUAGGGGAAAGGGGCAGAUGCAGGGUUGAGUAAGCAAGUAAAAGAGUUUUUGUUGACGUGUGCAUGUAGUGUACGCGUAUUCUAGAAUUUAAUGUUUUUAACUUUAAUAAAUAAUAUUAAUGUGUGCUUAUGUGAUUUUUGUGCUUAUAUAAUGGAGUUUAAAUAUAAUUGUGGGAGACAUGAGACUCCUUUAAUUAUAUGUGAUAAUGUGAAUUAAUCGAAUAGUGAUCAAUUCUGGUGUGGACUAUAUGUUUCAAUGUGACAUGACAGGGAUGAUGAUAUUGAAAGGUAAGAUGGUGGAGAUUGUUGGUGUUAUAUAUUGAAGUUGUGAAUAAGUAUAUGAUAUGCAAAGUGAUGUAAAGACUUAUAUAUGUUGAGCAACUUGAAAAGAGAUGUGAAAUA